AAAGAAGAGUUCCAGGCAGUGGAGAAGAAGCUGGUGGAAGAGAAAGCUGCCCAUGCCAAAACCAAGGUCCUCCUGGCCAAGGAAGAGGAGAAGUUACAGUUUGCCCUCGGAGAGGUAGAGGUGCUAUCCAAGCAGCUGGAGAAAGAGAAGCUGGCCUUUGAAAAAGCUGUCAAGAGCAAAGUCCUUCAGGAGUCCAGCAAGAAGGACCAGCUCAUCACCAAGUGCAAUGAGAUUGAGUCUCACAUUAUAAAGCAAGAAGAUAUACUUAAUGGCAAAGAGAAUGAGAUUAAAGAGUUGCAGCAAGUUAUCAGCCAGCAGAAACAGAUCUUCAGGAAUCACAUGUCUGACUUCCGGAUCCAGAAGCAGCAGGAGAGCUACAUGGCCCAGGUGCUGGACCAGAAGCAUAAGAAAGCCUCAGGGACACGUCAGGCCCGCAGCCACCAGCAUCCCAGGGAAAAAUAAAAUGGCCGCCGCUUUCCUGUUC
rnacentral:lncRNA from 1 species